AGUGAACGCUGGCGGUAGGCCUAACACAUGCAAGUCGAACGGCAGCACAGUAAGAGCUUGCUCUUACGGGUGGCGCGUGGCGGACGGGUGAGGAAUACAUCGGAAUCUACUUUUUCGUGGGGGAUAACGUAGGGAAACUUACGCUAAUACCGCAUACGACCUACGGGUGAAAGCAGGGGAUCUUCGGACCUUGCGCGAUUGAAUGAGCCGAUGUCGGAUUAGCUAGUUGGCGGGGUAAAGGCCCACCAAGACGACGAUCCGUAGCUGGUCUGAGAGGAUGAUCAGCCACACUGGAACUGAGACACGGUCCAGACUCCUACGGGAGGCAGCAGUGGGGAAUAUUGGACAAUGGGCGCAAGCCUGAUCCAGCCAUACCGCGUGAGUGAAGAAGGCCUUCGGGUUGUAAAGCCCUUUUGUUGGGAAAGAAAAGCAGCAGGUUAAUACCCCGCUGUUCUGACGGUACCCAAAGAAUAAGCACCGGCUAACUUCGUG
rnacentral:rRNA from 1 species